GCUGUGGCUUGGCGGUAUAGCAUUUGCUUUGCAUAUAGAAGGUCCCAAGUUCAGUUCUUGGUAUCAGCA
rnacentral:tRNA from 1 species